rnacentral:lncRNA from 1 species
GAAGGGGGAGCUCCACAGAGAGCUCAGGCGGCGGUGCUUGUGCGCGAAGCAGAAGAGUGUGUGGCGGUGAGUGUGGUGGAGAAGAACAGAGCAGGUAGUGCGGCAAUGGCGGUGGUGGUGAAGGGAACUCCAGUAAGAGGUUUCGGUACCUUUUUAUAGAUACGCAGAAGUGUUCGGAGGAAGGAAAUGAGCUCGAGCGGGCGCGAGGAUAAGAUCGAG